CAACAACAACAAACCAACCAAACAAACCAAAAAAACCAGGACUCUAGCUAAAAACAAAUGUAUUCAUGAGGAUUGCUAACCCAACAUCAAGCACAACAAGAGUUACUUACAUGGAGCUAAACCAUUAAAGGAUUAAAAUAAUUUUUCAUGAUAUUUAAAACAGUGUUUGACACUUUUCAUGUUUCAUUCUUCAGAGUCAAAAAAGCUUAUUUUUGGAAACCUGUUAGCUUACAACAUAUUGGGUAAUUUUGUGAGCAGAAUUGGAAAGAUUUAUCUUUCUCUAUACCCAAUUUCUCUAAAAAUAAGAAACUAUUAGUGGGUAUUCUUAAUUUAUGUCACUAUAGUUAUUUUCAUCAGUUUCAUAAGGAUCUAUUUUCUUUUAUAACAGGACACAAUUGGAGAUACUGCUUAUUUUGCCAAGGCUUUGACUGGAAUGGCAUAUUUUCAGAUAUGCCCAGAAUGAUUUGAGGAUUGAUAUUGGCUUAAUAGAGCUGAUAAAAAUUCCCUUGGAAAGACUGCUCAGAAAUGUCCAUGCAUUUUAUUUAAAAGUUCAUGAUCUGUGCCCUGCAAACUGAAACUAGACAACUUACAUAAACUUUUGGAGAAAUCAUAGCAACUUAUAUAUAACAACCUCUGUGCCUGCAGAUGUAUGGACUACACAACAGGUGUUUACGGACACUGUUUUAUGAACACUGGAUUCAGAGUAUAACUUAGGGAGACCUGUAAGAUUGCCAGUGCAAUUGGAAGAUGCUUCAGAGACUCUAGAAAGAUGAAUCUACAGACUUCUCCAGACAUUAAAGAAUUCCAGAACUUUGAGAGGCCAAGGCAGAAGGAU